GGAGGGGUAUAGCUCAGUGGUAGAGUGUGUGCUUAGCAUGCACAAGGUCCUGGGUUCAAUCCCCAGUACCUCCA
rnacentral:tRNA from 1 species